rnacentral:ncRNA from 13 species
AAUAAAAGUUACGCUAGGGAUAAUUUACCCCCUUGUCCCAUUAUAUUGAAAAAUAUAAUUAUUCAAUUAAUUAUUUAAUUGAAGUAAAUUGGGUGAAUUGCUUAGAUAUCCAUAUAGAUAAAAAUAAUGGACAAUAAGCAGCGAAGCUUAUAACAACUUUCAUAUAUGUAUAUAUACGGUUAUAAGAACGUUCAACGACUAGAUGAUGAGUGGAGUUAACAAUAAUUCAUCCACGAGCGCCCAAUGUCGAAUAAAUAAAAUAUUAAAUAAAUAUCAAAGGAUAUAUAAAGAUUUUUAAUAAAUCAAAAAAUAAAAUAAAAUGAAAAAUAUUAAAAAAAAUCAAGUAAUAAAUUUAGGACCUAAUUCUAAAUUAUUAAAAGAAUAUAAAUCACAAUUAAUUGAAUUAAAUAUUGAACAAUUUGAAGCAGGUAUUGGUUUAAUUUUAGGAGAUGCUUAUAUUCGUAGUCGUGAUGAAGGUAAACUAUAUUGUAUGCAAUUUGAGUGAAAAAAUAAGGCAUACAUGGAUCAUGUAUGUUUAUUAUAUGAUCAAUGAGUAUUAUCACCUCCUCAUAAAAAAGAAAGAGUUAAUCAUUUAGGUAAUUUAGUAAUUACCUGAGGAGCUCAAACUUUUAAACAUCAAGCUUUUAAUAAAUUAGCUAACUUAUUUAUUGUAAAUAAUAAAAAACUUAUUCCUAAUAAUUUAGUUGAAAAUUAUUUAACACCUAUAAGUUUAGCAUAUUGAUUUAUAGAUGAUGGAGGUAAAUGAGAUUAUAAUAAAAAUUCUCUUAAUAAAAGUAUUGUAUUAAAUACACAAAGUUUUACUUUUGAAGAAGUAGAAUAUUUAGUUAAAGGUUUAAGAAAUAAAUUUCAAUUAAAUUGUUAUGUUAAAAUUAAUAAAAAUAAACCAAUUAUUUAUAUUGAUUCUAUAAGUUAUUUAAUUUUUUAUAAUUUAAUUAAACCUUAUUUAAUUCCUCAAAAUGAUAUAUAAAUUACCUAAUACUAUUUCAUCCGAAACUUUUUUAAAAUAAUAUUCUUAUUUUUAUUUUAUGAUAUAUUUCAUAAAUAUUUAUUUAUAUUAAAUUUUUAUUUGAUAAUGAUAUAGUCUGAACAAUAUAGUAAUAUAUUGAAGUAAUUAUUUAAAUGUAAUUACGAUAACAAAAAAUUUGAACAGGGUAAUAUAGCGAAAGAGUAGAUAUUGUAAGCUAUGUUU